rnacentral:tmRNA from 1 species
AUAUUCGCAGGUGCCGCUCGCAAGAACGGCUAUGGCGAUAAACGGAUCUCGAAAUAAGCCUUUCGGACCCGGGGGCGGUACCCGGCGCCUCCACCAAAACCCUGAUGACGCAGGGUUUUGGCGGGGGCGAAAUAGGAUCGACGAGGGUGUAAAGGUUAUCCUUUUGCUCGGCAUGGUUCCGCCGUUAUCGGGCCAAAGCAUAGUUGCCAACGACAACAAUGCUCGGGUUGCUGUCGCCGCGUAAGCGGUGCUGGUUCCCAAACCAAAGCCCUUGCGCUUAGCCGCGUAAGGCGGGGCUCGGAGGCGCCUGGCAACAGAAGCCUCCACUUCUUUUU